rnacentral:rRNA from 1 species
AUGAACGCUAGCUACAGGCUUAACACAUGCAAGUCGAGGGGCAGCAUGGUCUUAGCUUGCUAAGGCCGAUGGCGACCGGCGCACGGGUGAGUAACACGUAUCCAACCUGCCGUCUACUCUUGGACAGCCUUCUGAAAGGAAGAUUAAUACAAGAUGGCAUCAUGAGUCCGCAUGUUCACAUGAUUAAAGGUAUUCCGGUAGACGAUGGGGAUGCGUUCCAUUAGAUAGUAGGCGGGGUAACGGCCCACCUAGUCUUCGAUGGAUAGGGGUUCUGAGAGGAAGGUCCCCCACAUUGGAACUGAGACACGGUCCAAACUCCUACGGGAGGCAGCAGUGAGGAAUAUUGGUCAAUGGGCGAGAGCCUGAACCAGCCAAGUAGCGUGAAGGAUGACUGCCCUAUGGGUUGUAAACUUCUUUUAUAAAGGAAUAAAGUCGGGUAUGGAUACCCGUUUGCAUGUACUUUAUGAAUAAGGAUCGGCUAACUCCGUGCCAGCAGCCGCGGUAAUACGGAGGAUCCGAGCGUUAUCCGGAUUUAUUGGGUUUAAAGGGAGCGUAGAUGGAUGUUUAAGUCAGUUGUGAAAGUUUGCGGCUCAACCGUAAAAUUGCAGUUGAUACUGGAUAUCUUGAGUGCAGUUGAGGCAGGCGGAAUUCGUGGUGUAGCGGUGAAAUGCUUAGAUAUCACGAAGAACUCCGAUUGCGAAGGCAGCCUGCUAAGCUGCAACUGACAUUGAGGCUCGAAAGUGUGGGUAUCAAACAGGAUUAGAUACCCUGGUAGUCCACACGGUAAACGAUGAAUACUCGCUGUUUGCGAUAUACAGCAAGCGGCCAAGCGAAAGCGUUAAGUAUUCCACCUGGGGAGUACGCCGGCAACGGUGAAACUCAAAGGAAUUGACGGGGACCCGCACAAGCGGUGGAGCAUGUGGUUUAAUUCGAAGCAACGCGAAGAACCUUACCAGGGCUUGACAUAUAGAGGAAUAUAUAAGAGAUUAUAUAGCUCUUCGGAGUCUCUAUACAGGUGGUGCAUGGUUGUCGUCAGCUCGUGCCGUGAGGUGUCGGCUUAAGUGCCAUAACGAGCGCAACCCUUGUUGUCAGUUACUAACAGGAUUUGCUGAGGACUCUGACAAGACUGCCAUCGUAAGAUGUGAGGAAGGUGGGGAUGACGUCAAAUCAGCACGGCCCUUACGUCCGGGGCUACACACGUGUUACAAUGGGGGGUACAGAGGGCCGCUACCACGCGAGUGGAUGCCAAUCCCCAAAACCUCUCUCAGUUCGGACUGGAGUCUGCAACCCGACUCCACGAAGCUGGAUUCGCUAGUAAUCGCGCAUCAGCCACGGCGCGGUGAAUACGUUCCCGGGCCUUGUACACACCGCCCGUCAAGCCAUGGGAGCCGGGGGUACCUGAAGUGCGUAACCGCGAGGAGCGCCCUAGGGUAAAACUGGUGACUGGGGCU